rnacentral:rRNA from 1 species
UACAGAGGUCUCAAGCGUUGUUCGGAUUCAUUGGGCGUAAAGGGCGCGUAGGCUGCGGGGUAAGUCGGGUGUGAAAUCUCGGAGCUUAACUCCGAAACUGCAUUUGAUACUGCCGUGCUUGAGGACUGGAGAGGAGACUGGAAUUUACGGUGUAGCGGUGAAAUGCGUAGAUAUCAGGAGGAACACCGGUGGCGAAGGCGGAUCUCUGGGCCUUACCUGACGCUCAGGUGCGAAAGCUAGGGGAGCGAACAGG